rnacentral:rRNA from 1 species
GACGUAGGGCGCGAGCGCUGUCCGGAUUUAUUGGGCGUAAAGAGCUCGUAGGCGGCUUGUCGCGUCGACUGUGAAAACCCGCGGCUCAACCGCGGGCCUGCAGCCGAUACGGGCAGGCUAGAGUUCGGUAGGGGAGACUGGAAUUCCUGGUGUAGCAGUGAAAUGCGCAGAUAUCAGGAGGAAUACCGAUGGCGAAGGCAGGUCUCUGGGCUGACACUGACGCUCAUGCACGAAAGCGUGGGGAGCAAACAGG